rnacentral:rRNA from 1 species
UACGAGGGGUGCAAGCGUUAUUCGGAUUUACUGGGCGUAAAGGGUGUGUAGGCGGUAUGUUAAGUCAACUGUUAAAUUCUCCAGCCUAACUGGAGGCAAGCGGUAGAAACUGGCGUACUUGAGGAUGGAAGAGAGAAGUGGAAUUCUCGGAGUAGCGGUAAAAUGCGUAGAUCUCGAGAGGAACACCGAUGGCGAAGGCAGCUUCUUGGUCCAUUUCUGACGCUGAGACACGAAAGCGUGGGGAGCAAACAGG